CGGGACGGGUGAGUAAUGUCUGGGAAACUGCCUGAUGGAGGGGGGUAACUACUGGAAACGGUAGCUAAUACCGCAUAACGUCGCAAGACCAAAGAGGGGGACCUUCGGGCCUCUUGCUAUCGGAUGUGCCCAGAUGGGAUUAGCUAGUAGGUGGGGUAACGGCUCACCUAGGCGACGAUCCCUAGCUGGUCUGAGAGGAUGACCAGCCACACUGGAACUGAGACACGGUCCAG
rnacentral:rRNA from 1 species